AUUGAACGCUGGCGGCAGGCCUAACACAUGCAAGUCGAGCGAGCGGCGGACGGGUGUGUAAUGUAUGGGGACUGCCCGAUAGAGGGGGAUAACUACUGGAAACGGUAGCUAAUACCGCAUACUAUCGGAUAACCCAUAUGGGAUUAGCUAGUUGGUGGGGUAAAGGCUCACCAAGGCAACGAUCCGUAGCUGGUUUGAGAGGACGACCAGCCAACUGGGAACUGAGAACCGGCCCAGACUCCUAGGGAGGCAGCAGUGGGGAAUUUUGGACAAUGGGGGAAACCCUGACCCAGCCCUCCCGCGUUAAUGAUGAAGCCCUUCGGUUUGAAAAGUACUUUUGGAAGAGAAGCGGUAUCUGAAAAAAAAGCCCCGGCUAACUACGUGCCAGCAGCCGCGGUAAUUC
rnacentral:rRNA from 1 species